AUUGAACGCUGGCGGCAGGCUUAACACAUGCAAGUCGAGCGGAGAUGAGGUGCUUGCACCUUAUCUUAGCGGCGGACGGGUGAGUAAUGCUUAGGAAUCUGCCUAUUAGUGGGGGACAACAUUCCGAAAGGAAUGCUAAUACCGCAUACGUCCUACGGGAGAAAGCAGGGGAUCUUAGGACCUUGCGCUAAUAGAUGAGCCUAAGUCGGAUUAGCUAGUUGGUGGGGUAAAGGCCUACUAAGGCGACGAUCUGUAGCGGGUAUGAGAGGAUGAUCCGCCACACUGGGACUGAGACACGGCCCAGACUCCUACGGGAGGCAGCAGUGGGGAAUAUUGGACAAUGGGGGGAACCCUGAUCCAGCCAUGCCGCGUGUGUGAAGAAGGCCUUAUGGUUGUAAAGCACUUUAAGCGAGGAGGAGGCUACUGAGACUAAUACUCUUGGAUAGUGGACGUUACUCGCAGAAUAAGCACCGGCUAACUCUGUGCCAGCCGCCGCCGUAA
rnacentral:rRNA from 1 species